AGCGAACGCUGGCGGCAGGCCUAACACAUGCAAGUCGAACGAACCUUUCGGGGUUAGUGGCGGACGGGUGAGUAACACGUGGGAACGUGCCUUUAGGUUCGGAAUAACUCAGGGAAACUUGUGCUAAUACCGAAUGUGCCCUUCGGGGGCAAGAUUUAUCGCCUUUAGAGCGGCCCGCGUCCGAUUAGCUAGUUGGUUGAGGUAAUGGCUCACCAAGGCGACGAUCAGUAGCUGGUCUGAGAGGAUGAUCAGCCACAUUGGGACUGAGACACGGCCCAAACUCCUACGGGAGGCAGCAGUGGGGAAUCUUGCGCAAUGGGCGAAAGCCUGACGCAGCCAUGCCGCGUGAAUGAUGAAGGUCUUAGGAUUGUAAAAUUCUUUCACCGGGGACGAUAAUGACGGUACCCGGAGAAGAAGCCCCGGCUAACUUCGUG
rnacentral:rRNA from 1 species